GACGAACGCUGGCGGCGUGCUUAACACAUGCAAGUCGAACGGAAAGGCCCUGCUUUUGUGGGGUGCUCGAGUGGCGAACGGGUGAGUAACACGUGAGUAACCUGCCCUUGACUUUGGGAUAACUUCAGGAAACUGGGGCUAAUACCGGAUAGGAGCUCCUGCUGCAUGGUGGGGGUUGGAAAGUUUGGGCGGUUGGGGAUGGACGCGCGGCUUAUCAGCUUGUUGGUGGGGUAGUGGCUUACCAAGGCGUUGAUGGGUGGCCGGCCUGAGAGGGGGACCGGCCACAUUGGGACUGAGAUACGGCCCAGACUCCUACGGGAGGCAGCAGUGGGGAAUAGUGCACAAUGGGCGGAAGCCUGAUGCAGCAACGCCGCGUGCGGGAUGACGGCCUUCGGGUUGUAAACCGCUUACGCCUGUGACGAAGCGUGAGUGACGGUAAUGGGUAAAGAAGCACCGGCUAACUACGUG
rnacentral:rRNA from 1 species